GAUGAGGAACGUAGCGAAAUGCGAUAAGUAAUGUGAAUUGCAGAAUUCAGUGAAUCAUCGAAUCUUUGAACGCACAUUGCGCCCGCCAGUAUUCUGGCGGGCAUGCCUGUUCGAGCGUCAUUUCAACCAUCAAGCCCCAGGCUUGUGUUGGGGACCUGCGGCUGCCGCAGGCCCUGAAAACCAGUGGCGGGCUCGCUGUCACACCGGGCGUAGUAGAUUUUAUCUCGCUCAGGGCGUGCUGCGGGUUCCGGCCGUGAAACCCCCUACUUUUAAAGGUUGACCUCGGAUCAGGUAGGAAUACUCGCUGAACUUAAGCAUAUCAAUAAGCGGAGGA
rnacentral:misc_RNA from 1 species